AUUGAACGCUGGCGGCAGGCCUAACACAUGCAAGUCGAGCGGAUGAAGGGUGCUUUCUCCUGGAUUCAGCGGCGGACGGGUGUGUAAUUCCUAUGAAUCUGCCUGGUAGUUGUUUAUUACGUCCGUUAACGGGCUCUAAUACCGCAUACGUCCUUAUGGUGCAAUUUGGUGUUCUUCGUACCUCACGCUAUCAUAUGAGCCUAGGUCGGAUUAGCUAGUUUGUUUGGUAAAGGCCUACCAAGGCGACGAUCCGUAACUGGUCUGAGAGGAUGAUCAGUAACAGUGGAACAGAGACACGGAAAAGACUACUACGGGAGGGAGCAGGGGGGAAUAGUGGACAAUGGGCGAAAGCAUGAUACAGCAAUGCCGAGUGUGUGAAGAAGGUAUUAGGAUUGUAAAGAACUUUAAGUUGGGAGGAAGGGAAGUAAGUUAAUACCUUGAUGUUUUGACGUUACCAACAGAAUAAGCACCGGCUAACUUCGUG
rnacentral:rRNA from 1 species